CCUACGGGAGGCAGCAGUGGGGAAUAUUGCACAAUGGGCGAAAGCCUGAUGCAGCGACGCCGCGUGAGGGAUGACGGCCUUCGGGUUGUAAACCUCUUUCAGCAGGGAAGAAGCGAAAGUGACGGUACCUGCAGAAGAAGCGCCGGCUAACUACGUGCCAGCAGCCGCGGUAAUACGUAGGGCGCAAGCGUUGUCCGGAAUUAUUGGGCGUAAAGAGCUCGUAGGCGGCUUGUUGCGUCGGUUGUGAAAGCCCGGGGCUUAACCCCGGGUCUGCAGUCGAUACGGGCAGGCUAGAGUGUGGUAGGGGAGAUCGGAAUUCCUGGUGUAGCGGUGAAAUGCGCAGAUAUCAGGAGGAACACCGGUGGCGAAGGCGGAUCUCUGGGCCAUUACUGACGCUGAGGAGCGAAAGCGUGGGGAGCGAACAGGAUUAGAUACCCUGGUAGUCCACGCCGUAAACGUUGGGAACUAGGUGUUGGCGACAUUCCACGUCGUCGGUGCCGCAGCUAACGCAUUAAGUUCCCCGCCUGGGGGUACGGCCGCAAGGCUAAAACUCAAAUGAAUUGACGG
rnacentral:rRNA from 1 species